rnacentral:piRNA from 1 species
AACAUGGCAACAGGGCUGAGAUA